AAUAAGAGCAAAAAUGACAAGUUGAUUUGUUUGUUAGGAUUUUUUUUUUUGCGGAUUGACACAACCAAGAAAUCUAUAAAUAGUAGUCUGGCACAAAUAAUGACAUGAUGUCACAUCAUACAGACACCCUUGUGUCUCUCACAGAUAUUCUUGUAUACUCUGCUAUCCUGCAUGAUUAUAACACCCUGUUCCCCCCCUAACAUCUUCUAUUUUUUUGCACACUUCAGUGGAUCAUGACUAUCUUUCCAGAUAAUGACCUUAAACUUUUCCCAAUCAGCCGAUUUGGACCAGUCACUAAAGGAGGAGGAUGAAGUGGCACUUCUGUUUUGCCAGGCAACAGCAGAUCUGAAACCCAUCAUACGCUGGUUUGAAAAUUGCAGAAUAUGGGGGCUUGGGCAGUAAAAAUAGGAAACAACAAUGACUGCAAAAUUGUAGAAUCUGAAGGAAAGAGUUUUAUAAAAUCACCACCAGACUUGACCGAAUUCCCAGGAGUGCCAGAGAAGCCUAUUGUCAGUGAUGUCACAGAUAUGAGUGUUCACAAGUCAUGGAAACUAUUCCUUGAUACAGACCGGUGUAUCUCCAGUUGAUUGUACUGAUUAGAGUACUUCGGAAAUGGCUUAAAAUUAUCAGAGUCCUGGAAGGUUGCUAGAACCUGUUAUACCAGUACAAAUAUAACUAUUGAUUGACUGGUUCCAAACACUACUUGUGUUUUCCUUGUCAGAGCAGUAAACAGCCAUGGAAAAAUGGGGACCCAGUCCACUAGAAAGGUCACAAUGUGGUACCAACAAUAUAUUACCCUCCCAGUAACUGAGAUAGAAGAAAGAUUACUAGACAUUCAGAUGUCCUUGUGUAAGGAGAAACUGUCAACUCCAGCGCUAUCAGAUUAAGUUGGAUGGUAUGGAUUUGCCCAGUACACCAAAAAGAUCGAAGAGGCCCAGAUAUUUUGGUCAUGGUCAUAGUCCAAGUACAUCACUAUAUCAAGAAAAGAACACUUUCACCCCCAAAAAAGCCACGCUACUUUGGACACAGUCCAUGUAAUUCACCGAAAAGAAUAACAUUCAGCAAUUACAGAGAAGAAGCUAGUAAGACUGACUUCCAUUCCCUAAUUAAUGAAGACAAAGUUGUGAAAAUUGUGCUGACCUAUGGGCUGAAUACCCUCAUUGAAAUAAAAAGUGUACUGUUGACAGUGCCUAGAACAUUCCCAAAUAGGUUAGGUUAUUGCACAUCCAUUUGCGGAUGCAUACAAACAUCAAAGAAAAUUUCAUUGUUGGAACUUAAGGAACUUUUAAUGGCAGUUGAUGAACUACCUGUUAUAUGCAGCCCAGUAACAGACCUUUUGUGGAAAGCAUCUAAGGAACUUGAUGUUCCAGUGACAUACUUCCUUGCACCAAAUGUGGGACAGUGUCUUGUAGAUGGGUGUAACGGGAAGCUUUAUGGCAGGAAGGAGGAGGUAAUUGAAGUGACACUCUGCACUUUAUCAGGGCCUAUGCUAGGUCUCAAAGCUGAUGUUGCAGCUGUGGUG
rnacentral:lncRNA from 1 species